AGUUUUGUGCAGGGGCAAUAUCAUACUAUUGUAGCCAAUGAGGUUUAUUAAAAGUGUGAUUAUUGCUCAUUGAAAACUUUUCCCAAUACCCCUCCAUGACAACUAAAAAUAUAGUCAGCAUUGGCAAUUUUUGAAUUUGAAAGUAUAUA
ensembl:snRNA U4 U4 spliceosomal RNA